AAGUACUUGGAAAUUGAAAAGUAGUUGCUUCUUUAAUAUAUGUUUAUGUAUAAUAAUACCCUGAAAACAUUUAGACGAAGGUAUGAUGAAGUCAAUAAUGUUUAUGAAAACAUCAUAUAUUUCUCUUUCCCUAUCGUUGUUUCUUCUCCUUUUAUCUCAUUUUUCUCAUGUUGGAGCUACACACCGCAUGCUAUAUGCCCAAGUAUACACACCACCAUCUCCAACAUGUGGAGAUCAAAUAGGAAAUUUAGUCUUUGAGGAAGCUAAACAAAAGACAAGAAAACGAAAACUCUGUAGACAUCAUCCUCCAAAACCAUAAUUGCAAACACAUGAUGCUGCUGAAGAUAGGUAACAUCUUCAUCUUCUCUGACUGCAUAAUAUUGGUGUUUAAUACAAAAUCUCGCUGGUGUGGGACUCAUUAUCAUGUUAACGUCAAAUUAAUUAGCUGGUGUUGUAAACUUUAAAUAAUAUACAUUUUUUAAAUGUAAAGUUAUAUCCAACAAAAACAAAAACAAAAAACUAUUGCUGCAUUGAAUAAGAUAUCUUUAAUUGAGAGU